rnacentral:rRNA from 1 species
GACGAACGCUGGCGGCGUGCCUAAUACAUGCAAGUCGAACGCAUUUUCUUUCACCGUAGCUUGCUACACUGAAAGAAAAUGAGUGGCGAACGGGUGAGUAACACGUGGGUAACCUGCCCAUCAGCGGGGGAUAACACUUGGAAACAGGUGCUAAUACCGCAUAAUUCCAUUUACCGCAUGGUAGAUGGGUGAAAGGCGCUUUUGCGUCACUGAUGGAUGGACCCGCGGUGCAUUAGCUAGUUGGUGGGGUAACGGCCUACCAAGGCUGCGAUGCAUAGCCGACCUGAGAGGGUGAUCGGCCACACUGGGACUGAGACACGGCCCAGACUCCUACGGGAGGCAGCAGUAGGGAAUCUUCGGCAAUGGACGCAAGUCUGACCGAGCAACGCCGCGUGAGUGAAGAAGGUUUUCGGAUCGUAAAACUCUGUUGUUAGAGAAGAACAAGGAUGAGAGUGGAAAGUUCGAUCCCUUGACGGUAUCUAACCAGAAAGCCACGGA